AGAAAUGAAUAAGUAGCAUACAGAUAUUCUUAUUAAAUUAGAUACCUCAAUAAAUCAAAAUCAAUCUCUGCCAUUAACUUUCUGGAAAUAAAUGAAGUUAGUGUAUUAUUUUUUUUCAGGUAUGAAAUUCCUGCUCAAUCUCUAGUUUUCACUUACUAUUGAGAAAUCAUAUAUAUAUAAAAGAGAAAAAAGUAGGAAUUUAUCUUAUAGCAUUAAUGGGUAAAACCCAUUAUGUAGUGCCUAUAGAUUCCUCUUAAGAAGCAGUUCAUUCAAAAAUGGACUAUAAUGUUCACCUGUCACUCUGAGAACUUUCUUCCUGGGUAUCAAUUUUCUUAUGAGAAGUGAGUAUAGAGUAACAGCAGCAUUGUUUGUCAAUGUCCUCCUGUGAUUGUUAGCAAUGCAUCCUUGCACAUAUUGUUUCAGACAAAAAAUUAGUAUUUUGCAUUAGAAGAGGAUAAUUAGGCAAUAAGAUACAAAAGCGAGUGUGGUUAUCAUGAGAUAAACACACACAUGGGGUGUUAUGAGGCACAGCCAAGUGUCUGUAAUCCCUCUAGGGUAUGAUUAUCUCGUGAUAACCACACACCCUGGAGUUGCCUUAUUGCUAUUAUAAAAUAUCUUUAUUAUAGGAAGAAAUGUGCAUUUUUGUGCAGAAAGGAGACGGAGCUGGCAAUUUAGAAUGCCGAACAGCAGUUUCAGCUGAGCUAUGUGGUUUACAUAGAUUAAUCUAUCCCAUUGGAAUGUUUCCCCAGCCAAAAAAAUGUUCCCUAAAUCCAAGCAGUCAUAAUCUGUAGUGAUGUGCAGCUAUUUGGAGCAUUUGAGAAAUUCCCUGCCUGGUUCUUAGGCUGUUGGUUUGAUGGUUGCAUGGGGUGAAUUCUGAGAUGCACAAUGACAAGAGGCUACAGUAUUGUGGAAGCUUGGUGUUCUGGGAACCCAAAUUGUGAUGCAUGCAAAUGUCAAAAUUCUGUACAAUAAUUUUAUCUGUUUUCUCGAUCAGAGUAAAUGUCUUAAAAUCCUUAUGAAAACAGCAUCUCACAACAGAAAUGUUCCUAAGGGAGAGAAAUUAUUAAGGUGGAAACAAGAAGAUGGAGAUGAAACUCAAAAUGGUGCGGAAGGAGUUGAUGAAUGUCACAGGACUCCUUGCAUUCAACCAUCUUCCAGUGUGACUGUUCUGGGAAUUGGCACUGAGCUUAUGGUGCCUUGUCACUACCAAUAGUGACUUCCAUUGAGUUAUUUCCUGCUACUGUCCUAUGAAGUAGGACCUGUGUGUCCAUGCCUGAUAAUGCUGGCCCCUCAUUCCACAACACUGGUCCUGAUGCCAGCUACACCUGCCCCAGCACCACUCAGAAAAUGGCAACAGCUGGAGCAGGUACCUUGAUCCCAGAGAUGGAAACCACAUAUCCAGGAUGAAUCUAGCAGCCUGCGUACUAAAGAUCCUGUGGACAAAGUGAAGCCUCCAGCCUUACUGUUAAUCUCUGAACUGUUAUGACAGGGAAACAGGCCUCAAAUUUGUUUGUUCCAUUCCAUUAUUGAGUAUUAUAGCAUUUGAUAUGUAUUCUUUUUUGUUAUUAUUAUUUUGAGAGGGGGGUGGGAGAGGGAGACAGAGAAUCUAAAGCAGGCUCUGCACUGUCAACAAAGAACCCAAUGUGGGGGUCUGUCUCACAAACUGCAAGAUCAUAACCUGAGCUGACAUCAAGAGUCAGAUGCUUAACCAAAUGAGCCACCCAGUCUCAUUCAAACCAAUAUAGUAUUGGUCUGUAUUCAAACCAUUAUAGUAGGGUUGAGAGGAGAAGAGACAUUUGAUAUUUUAUCAUAUACAGAAAGUGUAAUGUAUUGAAGAAUCCAAUCAUCUUUCUUUUUCUUAACAUUUCAAAUUUGUAUCUAAACUCUAGUUAAUAAACAGUGUAAUAUUAAUUUCAGUAUUAGAAUUUAGUGAUUCAUCACUUACAUACAACCUUUGUUUUGUUUCAGAUUCCACAUAUAAGUGACAUCAUGAGGUAUUUGUAUUUCUCCGUCUUAUUUCACUUAGCAUAUUGUCCUUUAGGCCCAUCCACGCUGUUGCAAAUGGCAAGAUCUCAUAUUUUGUAUUGAUCACCUAAUAUUCCAGUGCGUGCUUACGUGCGCUUAACACCCAGUGCUCAUCACAAGUUCCCUCCUUAAUACUCAUCACCCAUUUAGCCCUUCCUCCCCACGCCUCUCCAGCAACCCUUAGUUUGUUCUCUAUAC